AGAGUUUGAUCCUGGCUCAGGAUGAACGCUAGCGGCAGGCUUAAUACAUGCAAGUCGAGGGGCAGCAAGGGUAGCAAUACCUGUUGGCGACCGGCAAACGGGUGCGGAACACGUACAGAACCUUCCUUUAAGUGGGGGAUAGCCCGGAGAAAUCCGGAUUAAUACCCCGUAAGAUUAUGGUGUGGCAUCACACAGUAAUUAAAGAUUUAUCGCUUAGAGAUGGCUGUGCGGCUGAUUAGGUAGUUGGCGGGGUAAAGGCCCACCAAGCCUGCGAUCAGUAACUGGUGUGAGAGCACGACCAGUCACACGGGCACUGAGACACGGGCCCGACUCCUACGGGAGGCAGCAGUAAGGAAUAUUGGUCAAUGGACGCAAGUCUGAACCAGCCAUGCCGCGUGAAGGAUGAAGGCCCUCUGGGUUGUAAACUUCUUUUAUCUGGGAAGAAAUGCAUUUAUUCUUAAGUGUUUGACGGUACCAGAGGAAUAAGCACCGGCUAACUCCGUGCCAGCAGCCGCGGUAAUACGGAGGGUGCAAGCGUUAUCCGGAUUCACUGGGUUUAAAGGGUGCGUAGGUGGGUCUGUAAGUCAGUGGUGAAAUCUCCGUGCUUAACAUGGAAACUGCCAUUGAUACUAUAGAUCUUGAAUUUUCUGGAGGAUAGCGGAAUAUGUCAUGUAGCGGUGAAAUGCUUAGAUAUGACAUAGAACACCAAUUGCGAAGGCAGCUAUCUACAGGGAUAUUGACACUGAGGCACGAAAGCGUGGGGAUCAAACAGGAUUAGAUACCCUAGUAGUCC
rnacentral:rRNA from 1 species